rnacentral:rRNA from 1 species
AUACUCAACGAUGGAUAUCUUGGUUCCCAUAUCGAUGAAGAACGCAGCGAAAUGCGAUAUGUAAUGCGAAUUGCAAAAUCCACGAGUCAUCAAAUCUUUGAACGCAACUGGCGCCGACUACCUGUCGGCAUAUUUGUAUCAGUGUGUAAGGAAAUCACAAAUCUGAAUGUGGUUGAGAAGUUAUUGAAAAAUAUAUUUCUCUCCCAUUAAACAUGAGGGGUGGAGAGAAACUCUGCCAAACGAAGUAGUCGCUAGCUAUCUAGUGAUCUCGUUUGAGCACUAUAGUUUUUCUUAUUUAACACCUUUUAUUUAAAUAUUUCUCCAUCUAUACCUGAUAUAAGUAAGACCACCCGCUGAACUUAAGCAUAUCAGUAAGCGGAGGAAAAGAAACUAACAAGGAUUCCCCCAGUAGCGGCGAGUGAACCGGGAAAAGCUCAAAUUGAAAAUCCUGCUCAUACAGGGCCGGAAUUGUAAUCUAGAGAUCUAAUGCGAAGGAAUGGACAGCUUAUAAGUUUCUUGGAACAGAACGCCAAAGAGGGUGAUAGCCCCGUUCUAAGCUGUCUGGCCGUAGCAAAGGUAUCUAAGAGUCGGCUAGUUUGGGACUGCUGGCCUAAUUGGGAGAUAAACUUCUUCUAAAGCUAAAUAUUUAUGGGAAACCGAUAGCGAACAAGUACUACGAAGGAAAGAUGAAAAGAACUUUGAAAAGAGGGUUAAAAGACUUGAAAUCGUUGAGUCGGAAGCUGAUGGAGGGCAAUCAUUUGUAACCGAUGUUGAGGUGUAUUGGUCGGUCGCCGGGUGUGCAGAUACUUUAUCGGGUCUGCUUCACGGCCGAUAACGAACAAUUGCCACUUUUUCGGUUAUAAGAGGCAGAAUGAAUUUUGGCAUCUGGAAUAAAGAUUUAAGACGCCCGGGGGUUUACCCCCUAGAUUAGAUCCGAAACAGAUGCGGAGAUUGAGGAUCCAGUAUGGAGAUUCUGCCAAGAUGACUUCAUCCGACCCGUCUUGAAACACGGACCAAGGAGUCUAUCCUAUAUGCAAGUGAUAGGGUGGGGAAACCUGAUCGCGUAGAGAAAUCGAGAACAAGCAUCGAAAUCCUUUAGGACGCAGAUGCAUCCAAUCCUGAUUCUUCGAAGAGGGACUUGAGAAAGAGCAUAUAUGGUAGGACCCGAAAGAUGGUGAACUACACGUGAGUAGGGUGAAGCUAGAGGAAACUCUGGUGGAAGCUCGAAGCAUUAUUGACGUGCAAAUCAUUUGUCAAACUUGCGUGUAGGGGCGAAAGACUAAUCGAACUAUCUAGUAGCUGGUUCCCUCUGAAGUUUCUCUCAGGAUAGCUGGUACCGGUUAAGCAGUUUUAUCAGGUAAAGCGAAUGAUUAGAGGACUCAGGGUUCAAAGAAUCUUGACCUAUUAUCAAACUUUAAAUUGGUAAGAAUCGGGGGUUUUCUUAAUUGAACCUUCGAGUGGAAUGCACGGGACCAUGUGGCGCAUUUUUGGUAAGCAGAACUGCGGAAGAGGGAUGCACCUUUCGUUUAGAUAAGGCGCCGAAAUGCUCGGUCAUCAGAUACCAUAAAAGAUAUCAGUUCAUUAAGACAGCAAGAGGGUGGACAUGGAAGUCGUAACCCCCUAAGGAGUGUGUAACAACUCACUUGCCGAAUGGACUGGUUCUGAAAAUUCAUGGCGCUGGACCGGGCUGCCGAUACUAAACCAUUAUUGCAAAUAAGAGGCAGUAAUGAGUAAGAGGGCGUGGAUGUCGUGUGGAAGGCUUUGGUGUGAACCUCGCUGAAACGGCAUCCAGUGCAGAUCUUGGUUGUAGUAGCAAUUAUUCUAAUGAGAACUUAGAAGACCGAAGUAAGAAAGGGUUCCAUGAGAACAGCAAUUGUUCAUGGGUUAAUCGUUCCUAAGCCUAAGCCGAAGGGCAAAAGCAUUAGGACGUUCCGUCCUAGCUGGCAAAAGGGAAAGCGGUUAAUAUUCCGCUAUCUGCAAGUGGAUAUUAUGUGGCAACACAACAGAUCCAACUGACGGCGGCAUGUAUCGCUAGAAGAGUUCUCUUUUCUUUUUAACUGAUUCUAGCCCUGGAAUUGGAUUAUCCAGAGAUAGGGCCAUAUAUCAGGAAGAGCAGUUCAAUCUAAGAACUGUUAGCAGUAUACUUGACGCUUACUAAAAAGGUUGGGGAGAGUCUUAUAACACUGCAGGACGUACCCACUACCGCCUCAGGUUCUUUAGGUUAGCAGCCUCUGGUCAACUAGAAGAAUGAAGAUAAGGGAAGUCGGCAUAAUAGAUCUGUAACUUCGGGAAAAGGAUUGGCUCUGACAAUGUAGUAUAAGGGCUCUUUUAUGAGCUCCUAAUGACUCUGUUAACUGCGGUGGCAACACUGUGGAUAACUAGUCGUUUCGAAGGAUUAUUUGAGACGCUUUCAUCGGCUUACCUUAUGCAAAGAAACAUUGAAUCAGAACUGAAGCGGACAAGGGGAAUCCGACUGUUUAAUAAAAACAUAGCUUUGCGAUAGCGCCAACGCGUAUUGACGCAAAGUGAUUUCUGCCCAGUGCUAUGAAUGUUAACGCUAUGAGAUUAGACUAAGCGCUAGUUAACGGCGGGAGUAACUAUGACUCUCUUAAGGUAGCCAAAUGCCUCGUCAUCUAAUUAGUGACGCGAAUGAAUGGAUCACUGAGAUUCCCACUGUCCCUAUCUUCUAUCUAGCGAACCAACAGCAAAGGGAACGGGCUUUGAAAAAUUAGCGGGGAAAGAAGACCCUGUUGAGCUUGACUUUAAUCUGACUUUGUCAAAUGGCUUAUGAGGUAUAGCCUAGGAGGGAGAGAAAUCGCCGCUGUAAAACCUCUACUCAUUUUGUCAUUUUACUUAUUCCAUAAAGAAUGGUUCACCUUAAGGUGAUUCUAGCACUAAACCUGUGUUUAUACAUGGGCGACAUUUGUGGAAAACAUGGUCAGGCUGGAAGUUUGGCUGGGGCGGCAUACGUGUUAAACAGUAACGCACGUGUCCUAUGGAUAGCUCAGAGAGAACGGAAAUCUCUCGUCGACCAAAAGGGGAAAAGCUAUCUUGAUUUUGAUUUUCAGUACCAAUACAAACUACGAAAGUAUGGCCUAUCGAUCCUUUAACUUUACAAGUUUUAAGCUAGAGGUGUCAGAAAAGUUACCACAGGGAUAACUGGCUUGUGGCAGCCAAGCGUUCAUAGCGACGUUGCUUUUUGAUCCUUCGAUGUCGGCUCUUCCUAUCAUUGAGACGCAGAAGUCCCAAAGUGUCGGAUUGUUCACCCGC